GUCCACGCCCUAAACGAUGUCAACUGGUUGUCGGGGAAGCAAUUCCUUGGUAACGAAGCUAACGCGUGAAGUUGACCGCCUGGGGAGUACGGCCGCAAGGUUAAAACUCAAAGGAAUUGACGGGGACCCGCACAAGCGGUGGAUUAUGUGGAUCAAUUCGAUGCAACGCGAAAAACCUUACCUACCCUUGACAUGUACGGAAGCUCGCAGAGAUGUGAGUGUGCCCGAAAGGGAGCCGUAACACAGGUGCUGCAUGGCUGUCGU
rnacentral:rRNA from 1 species